GGCAGUUCUUGGGUGAUGCACCCUGGAAUCGGAUGCCCUCCUCUCUGGUUCUGGGUGCAUCACUGGAGAAUGCA
rfam:Myotis brandtii contig311562, whole genome shotgun sequence.